rnacentral:rRNA from 1 species
UCGCCUGUUUUAUCAAAAACAUUGCCUGUAGAAAUAAUAUUAUAGGUCAAUCUGCCCAGUGAAUAUAUUAAUAAUAAUCAAAUUUUUAACGGCCGCGGUAUUCUUGACCGUGCUAAGGUAGCACAAUCAUGUGCCCUUUAAUUGAGGGAUAGAAUGAAUGAUUUAACAAGAAAUAAAUUGUCUCUUUUUUGUUAAUUGAAAUUUAGAUCUUGGUGAAAACUCCCAGAUUUUUUAUAAAGACAGAAAGACCCUAUAAGCUAUUAUUAUUAUAUUUUACUAAUAAAAAAAUAUUUAAUUGGGGCGAUUUUAAGUAAAAAACACUUAUUUUAUCAAGAGAUAUACCUCUAAUUAUAUUAUCUAUUCAACAUUUAAGUAAGUUACUAUAGGGAUAACAGGCUAAUACUUCUUGAGAGCACAAAUCAACAGAAGUGCUUAGCACCUCGAUGUUGGCUUAAGGAUCCCAAUCUAUGCAGAAGUAGAAAAGGGGGGUUUGUUCAACCUUUAAUUCCUUACAUGAUCUGAGUUCAAACCGGAGA